UCCGGUUUAACACCGGCAGUCUCCUUAAAGUGCCCAACUUAAUGGUGGCAAAUAAGAACAGGGGUUGCGCUCGUUGCGGGACUUAACCCAACAUCUUACGACACGAGCUGACGACAGCCAUGCAGCACCUGUCUCGGAGUCCCCGAAGGGAGGCCUACAUCUCUGCAGGUUGCUCCGGAUGUCAAGCCCAGGUAAGGUUCUGCGCGUUGCUUCGAAUUAAACCACAUACUCCACCGCUUGUGCGGGCCCCCGUCAAUUCCUUUGAGUUUCAGCCUUGCGGCCGUACUCCCCAGGCGGGAUACUUAAUGCGUGAGCUUCGACACUCAGAGGGUUAACUCUCCGAACGUCUAGUAUCCAUCGUUUAUGGCGCGGACUAC
rnacentral:misc_RNA from 1 species